rnacentral:rRNA from 1 species
CUCGGAGUAGAUGAAGUGGCGCACGGGUGCGUAACGCGUAUGCAACCUACCCUUAACUGGGGGAUAGCCCGGAGAAAUUCGGAUUAAUGCCCCAUAGUAUUACAGAUUGGCAUCAUGAAGUAAUUAAAGAUUUAUUGGUUAAGGAUGGGCAUGCGUGACAUUAGCUAGUUGGUAAGGUAAUGGCUUACCAAGGCAACGAUGUCUAGGGGUUCUGAGAGGAUGAUCCCCCACACUGGUACUGAGAUACGGACCAGACUCCUACGGGAGGCAGCAGUAGGGAAUAUUGGUCAAUGGGCGAGAGCCUGAACCAGCCAUGCCGCGUGUAGGAAGACGGCUUUCUGAGUUGUAAACUACUUUUAUAUGGGAAGAAAAAGGCCAUGCGUGGCAAAUUGCCGGUACCAUAUGAAUAAGCACCGGCUAACUCCGUGCCAGCAGCCGCGGUAAUACGGAGGGUGCAAGCGUUGUCCGGAUUUAUUGGGUUUAAAGGGUGCGUAGGCGGGUCUUUAAGUCAGUGGUGAAAGCCUGCAGCUUAACUGUAGAACUGCCAUUGAUACUGGAGACCUUGAGUAUACUAGAGGUAGGCGGAAUUUAUGGUGUAGCGGUGAAAUGCAUAGAUACCAUAAAGAACACCGAUAGCGUAGGCAGCUUACUGGAGUAUAACUGACGCUGAUGCACGAAAGCAUGGGUAGCGAACAGGAUUAGAUACCCUGGUAGUCCAUGCCGUAAACGAUGAUUACUCGAUGUUGGCGAUACACAGUCAGCGUCCAAGCGAAAGCGUUAAGUAAUCCACCUGGGGAGUACGCUCGCAAGAGU